rnacentral:sRNA from 1 species
UCCAUAUGAAUGACCUGGAACGCUGCCGU